UGGGCGUAAGGGCUCGCAGGCGGUUUCUUAAGUCUGAUGUGAAAGCCCCCGGCUCAACCGGGGAGGGUCAUUGGAAACUGGGGAACUUGAGUGCAGAAGAGGAGAGUGGAAUUCCACGUGUAGCGGUGAAAUGCGUAGAGAUGUGGAGGAACACCAGUGGCGAAGGCGACUCUCUGGUCUGUAACUGACGCUGAGGAGCGAAAGCGUGGGGAGCGAACAGGAUUAAAUACCCUGGUCGUCCACGCCGUAAACGAUGAGUGCUAAGUGUUAGGGGGUUUCCGCCCCUUAUUGCUGCAGCGAACGCAUUACUCCCUCCGCCUGGGG
rnacentral:rRNA from 1 species